GGAAGCCUACGGGGGGCAGCAGUGGGGAAUAUUGCACAAUGGGGGAAACCCUGAUGCAGCAACGCCGCGUGAGUGAAGAAGUAUUUCGGUAUGUAAAGCUCUAUCAGCAGGGAAGAAGAUGACGGUACCUGAUUAAGAAGCCCCGGCUAACUACGUGCCAGCAGCCGCGGUAAUACGUAGGGGGCACGCGUUAUCCGGAUUUUCUGGGGGUAAAGGGAGCGCAGACGGCAGUGCAAGUCUGGAGUGAAAGCCC
rnacentral:rRNA from 1 species